UGGAGCCAGGACAGGACGGGACAGAGCGGUGCUGUGAGGAGCCCCCGCACAGCGCACUCGUUCCUGUCUGACCCGGAGUUUUUCUGAGGUGUUGUUCCUGCAGCUGACCUCGAGGCCAGACUGUGGGACUUGCUGACCUGAGUCAUUUACCAGGAAUCUCCUGUCAUUGUGGCAGGAGCCCCCAAGACCAGAGUGCAGGACUUGCUGUCCUGCAGCUAUCCUGAGACCUCUCUGUCUCAGAAAACUUCAAGGCACAACUGAAAUUGCUGACUUGGCAAUAUCCUGAGGCAUCUCUCUAGAAGGUGCCUUCAAGGCUGGAAGGUAGAAUGGCAGGCAGAUUUUUCAGCCUGUUCAAAUGCUUCCGGGGGAAAACUAAGAAAGGCCCUGGAGCUGCUUCAGGAGAGCAGCCUGAAGAGCCAGAGCAGAUCCAGACACUGCAGGAUGAUGCAGCCGUGGAGCGCACACAAGAGCAGCAAUCCAGCCGUGGCCGCUUCCGCAGAACAGCGCAGAUGUUCCAAAAAUUCCCGUGCAUUCGCCGUAGAGAGACCAACACCACAG